rnacentral:rRNA from 1 species
GUGGGGAAUAUUGGACAAUGGGCGCAAGCCUGAUCCAGCCAUGCCGCGUGAGUGAUGAAGGCCUUAGGGUUGUAAAGCUCUUUCAGUGGGGACGAUAAUGACGGUACCCACAGAAGAAGCCCCGGCUAACUUAGUGCCAGCAGCCGCGGUAAUACGAAGGGGGCUAGCGUUGUUCGGAUUUACUGGGCGUAAAGCGCACGUAGGCGGAUCGUUAAGUCGGGGGUGAAAUCCUGGAGCUCAACACCAGAACUGCCUUCGUUACUGGCGAUAUUGAGUCCGGAAGAGGUGAGUGGAACUCCUAGUGUAGAGGUGGAAUUCGUAGAUAUUAGGAAGAACACCAGUGGCGAAGGCGGCUCACUGGUCCGGUACUGACGCUGAGGUGCGAAAGCGUGGGGAGCAAACAGGAUUAGAUACCCGGGUAGUCC